CCUACGGGGGGCUGCAGUGGGGAAUCUUAGACAAUGGGCGCAAGCCUGAUCUAGCCAUGCCGCGUGAGCGAUGAAGGCCUUAGGGUUGUAAAGCUCUUUCAGUGGGGAAGAUAAUGACGGUACCCACAGAAGAAGCCCCGGCUAACUCCGUGCCAGCAGCCGCGGUAAUACGGAGGGGGCUAGCGUUGUUCGGAAUUACUGGGCGUAAAGCGCACGUAGGCGGACCAGAAAGUCAGGGGUGAAAUCCCGGGGCUCAACCCCGGAACUGCCUUUGAAACUCCUGGUCUUGAGGUCGAGAGAGGUGAGUGGAAUUCCGAGUGUAGAGGUGAAAUUCGUAGAUAUUCGGAGGAACACCAGUGGCGAAGGCGGCUCACUGGCUCGAUACUGACGCUGAGGUGCGAAAGCGUGGGGAGCAAACAGGAUUAGAUACCCUAGUAGUC
rnacentral:rRNA from 1 species